UGCGAAGGGGGCUAGAGUUGUUCGGAAUUACUGGGCGUAAAGCGCACGUAGGCGGACUGAUAAGUCAGGGGUGAAAUCCCGGGGCUCAACCCCGGAACUGCCUUUGAUACUGUCAGCCUCGAGUUCGAGAGAGGUGAGUGGAAUUCCGAGUGUAGAGGUGAAAUUCGUAGAUAUUCGGAGGAACACCAGUGGCGAAGGCGGCUCACUGGCUCGAUACUGACGCUGAGGUGCGAAAGCGUGGGGAGCAAACAGG
rnacentral:rRNA from 1 species